CCUACGGGUGGCUGCAGUGGGGAAUCUUGCGCAAUGGGCGAAAGCCUGACGCAGCGACGCCGCGUGGGUGACGAAGGCCUUCGGGUCGUAAAACCCUGUUGCAGGGGACGAAGGAUGUGACGGUACCCUGCCAGAAAGCCCCGGCUAACUACGUGCCAGCAGCCGCGGUAAAACGUAGGGGGCGAGCGUUGUCCGGAAUUACUGGGCGUAAAGGGCUCGUAGGCGGCAGUCCAAGUCAGAUGUGAAAACCGACGGCUUAACCGGAGGAUUGCAUUUGAAACUGGGUUGCUUGAGGCAAGGAUAGGAAGGUGGAAUUCCCGGUGUAGCGGUGAUAUGCGUAGAUAUCGGGAGGAACCCCAGUGGCGAAGGCGGCCUUCUGGCCUUGACCUGACGCUGAGGAGCGAAAGCCAGGGUAGCAAACGGGAUUAGAUACCCCUGUAGUC
rnacentral:rRNA from 1 species